rnacentral:pre_miRNA from 1 species
GGCAGGGCAAUUCUCCUUUGGCAAAAAUGCAUAAACACAAAUACAUUUAUAUAAAUGCAUUUUUUUUUUUUUUAAAAGAAAAGAGUGACUGUUGUUUCAUUCAUGUUGUUGCCAAAGGAGAAUUGCACUGUCAUU